UACGUAGGGCGCAAGCGUUAUCCGGAAUUAUUGGGCGUAAAGAGCUCGUAGGCGGUUUGUCGCGUCUGCCGUGAAAGUCCGGGGCUCAACUCCGGAUCUGCGGUGGGUACGGGCAGACUAGAGUGAUGUAGGGGAGACUGGAAUUCCUGGUGUAGCGGUGAAAUGCGCAGAUAUCAGGAGGAACACCGAUGGCGAAGGCAGGUCUCUGGGCCGAAACUGACGCUGAGGAGCGAAAGCGUGGGGAGCGAACAGG
rnacentral:rRNA from 1 species